CCUAGGGGCCACACCUUAGUGCGAGUGCCUGAUAGCGUCCAAUCUUGGAACCUAAACCGGGCCAUGUUGUUAGUACUUGGAUGGGAGACCAAGUUGGAAGACCAGGGGUUACUGAGU
rnacentral:rRNA from 12 species